UACGUAGGAGGCGAGCGUUGUCCGGAGUUACUGGGCGUAAAGGGUGCGCAGGCGGCGGUUCGCGUGGCGAGAUGAAAUCUCCUGGCUUACCUGGGAGGAUGGUCGCCAGACGGGAUCGCUUGAGGGUCGGAGAGGGGCGUGGAAUUCCGGGUGGAGCGGUGAAAUGCGUAGAGAUCAGGAGGAACACCCGUGGCGAAGGCGGCACGCUGGGCCGGCCCUGACGCUGAGGCGCGAAAGCGUGGGGAGCGAACGGG
rnacentral:rRNA from 1 species